UUUCUGUUGGGCUGCGUGAGGGAUUGCAGCGGAAAGCCCGCAGCGCAGCGAGGACUUGGAGCGGAAAGCCCGACCCGAA
rnacentral:sRNA from 1 species